rnacentral:rRNA from 1 species
UUUGCAUAUUCCCAAUAGCGGAGGAAAAGAAACCAACAGGGAUUGCCUCAGUAACGGCGAGUGAAGCGGCAAAAGCUCAAAUUUGAAAUCUAGCACCUUCGGUGUUUGAGUUGUAAUUUGAAGAUGGUAACCUUGGGUUUGGCUCUUGUCUAUGUUCCUUGGAACAGGACGUCAUAGAGGGUGAGAAUCCCGUCUGAUGAGAUGCCCAUUCCUAUGUAAGGUGCUAUCGAAGAGUCGAGUUGUUUGGGAAUGCAGCUCUAAGUGGGUGGUAAAUUCCAUCUAAAGCUAAAUAUUGGCGAGAGACCGAUAGCGAACAAGUACAGUGAUGGAAAGAUGAAAAGAACUUUGAAAAGAGAGUGAAAAAGUACGUGAAAUUGUUGAAAGGGAAGGGCAUUAGAUCAGACUUGGUGUUUUACGAUUAUCUUCUCUUCUUGAGUUGUGCACUCGUAUUUCACUGGGCCAGCAUCGAUUCGGAUGGCAAGAUAAUGGCAGUUGAAUGUGGCUUCACUUCGGUGGAGUGUUAUAGCUUCUGCUGAUAUUGCCUGUCUGGAUCGAGGGCUGCGUCUUUUGACUAGGAUGCUGGCGUAAUGAUCUAAUGCCGCCCGUCUUGAACCCCCCGGACCCA